rnacentral:rRNA from 1 species
AAAUAGACUACCCUGGUAGUCCAUGCCGUAACGUUGGGCACUAGGUGUGGGCUCAUUCCACGAGUUCCGUGCCGCAGCAAACGCAUUAAGUGCCCCGCCUGGGGAGUACGGCCGCAAGGCUAAAACUCAAAGGAAUUGACGGGGGCCCGCACAAGCGGCGGAGCAUGCGGAUUAAUUCGAUGCAACGCGAAGAACCUUACCAAGGCUUGACAUGCACGGGAAGCCACCAGAGAUGGUGGUCUCUUUGGACACUCGUGCACAGGUGGUGCAUGGUUGUCGUCAGCUCGUGUCGUGAGAUGUUGGGUUAAGUCCCGCAACGAGCGCAACCCUCGUCCCAUGUUGCCAGCGGGUUAUGCCGGGGACUCAUGGGAGACUGCCGGGGUCAACUCGGAGGAAGGUGGGGAUGACGUCAAAUCAUCAUGCCCCUUAUGUCUUGGGCUUCACGCAUGCUACAAUGGCCGGUACAAAGGGCUGCGAUACCGUAAGGUGGAGCGAAUCCCAAAAAGCCGGUCUCAGUUCGGAUUGGGGUCG